GACGAACGCUGGCGGCGUGCUUAACACAUGCAAGUCGAACGGAAAGGCCCUGCUUUUGUUGGGUGCUCGAUUGGCGAACGGGUGAGUAACACGUGAGUAACCUGCCCUUGACUUUGGGGUAACUUCAGGAAACUGGGGCUAAUACCGGAUAGGAGCUCCUGCUGCAUGGUGGGGGUUGGAAAGUGUCGGCGUUUGUGGAUGGACUCGCGGCUUAUCAGCUUGUUGGUGGGGUAGUGGCUUACCAAGGCUUUGACGGGUAGCCGGCCUGAGAGGGUGACCGGCCACAUUGGGACUGAGAUACGGCACCGACUGCUACGGGAGGCAGCAGUGGGGAAUCUUGCACAAUGGCCGGACGCCUGAUGAAGAAACGCUGCGUGCGGGAUGCCGGCCUUCGGGUUGUAAACAGCUUUCGCAUGUGACGAAGCGUGCGUGACGGUAAUGGGUAAAGAAGCACCGGCUAACUACGUG
rnacentral:rRNA from 1 species